rnacentral:tRNA from 1 species
GCCCCUGUAGCGCAAUGGAUAGCGCGUUGGACUUCUAAUCCAAAAGUCGUUGGUUCGAAUCCUACCUGGGAUG